ensembl:lncRNA
UGGGGAGGCACAGCCUCCCCUAACCAGCCCUCCAUACAAUUUCUGAAACCUGAUGUGGCCCUCAGGCCAGAAAGUUUGCCCGCCCCUGGUUUAGAGCUUUCUAAGUCAAACUCAGCACCUUCAACUCCACUCUGAACCUGGUCAACAUCCAGUGCAUCUCCCGGAGCACUGCUGCCCCGCGCUCCCGAUGCGUUCCUUCACUCCCUUCCCGAGCGGGUUGCUGUAUUCUGCGCCAGCUGCCGUUUGCAAUUGGACUUUUGGUGGUCGGGCUAAUCUGGAGGCGACAAAGGCCUGGGUCACUGGAGCGAGAUCCAUGUCAGAAAGAAACGCAACCUCUGAGGUUCCAGGUAGCCAUGGAGUCUGCAAUGUCUUUGUAAAGACUAGUGGAAAUGUAGGCCACUUUGGAUGAGCAUCAUAAAGAUCUGACCAGGUAUCUCAUGAAGAGAAGAGAAAAAAAUCAGUUUCAUUUUCCCUCUGAGUCACUGAUAGGAGUGGUUCUCGAGCUCUGGGUUACAGUAACAUUCAGAUCAGUCAAGGACACAGAGGCUGGACUAGGAACUGGCGUACACGAGAUCUCCGGCUUACAAAGGGGUCUGGAGGAUGGAGGACAUGGAUACAAGCUGAUCCACACGCAGUUGGAGUUCAACUGGUGCAAGCCAAGCAGCCGCCCCUUUCCAGUUUCCCUGUUCAAACACGGAACGUUAACUUCAAGGAAGCUCUCCGGAUCUGGGCGUACGACCGGCAUCUGCGCUAAACACAGGAUCGGCUUAUCCAGGUGAAGGACUCCAGCUCUCAUCCCCUGCUAUGGCUCCCGUGCACGGGGUCGCACGGGCGGGGCACUUCCGGAUGACAGUCCCCAGGGCUUUGCUGCUCAGCGUGCUGAUUUACAGCACGGUCUCUGAUAUCCGAUGUCCGGAUAAUGUGCCAAGCCCUGGAGAUUGCUCCUAUGUGUUCAGAUCUGUCGCCAAAGGGGGCUCGGUGAGCAUCUCACUUAAGACAUCAGAAACCACCCUGGAUCUCUGCAAGCUGAACAGGUCGACUGCGAAAUGGGAUGCUGUCAGCAGCUUCGUUAAGGGGAACCAGACAAAGCUCAACAGCGGCUUCCAGGAGCAAGUCUCGGUCUCCAAUGGCACCUUCGUGGUGGAGAACGUGAGCCAAGGGGCUGAUGGGAAUUAUGUGUUUCAAGACACCAGUGAAAAGUGCCUGGCUCAGAUAGCACUGACAGUGGUGUGCUCUUCUGGCAGCCCGUCCCAAAGCAGUGCUCAUCAAAAGGGUGAGUGAAAGCUAACUGAGUAGGUUCGGGAGGGAGGGAGGGAGGAAGGGAUCGGGGCAGAGAAAGGCUGGCUUUGUAAUGAAGGCACUUGGGUCAUGCCCAGCUCUGUUAUAGGUGCCUUCUAUGAUCUGGGGUAAAUCUCUCAAUCUCUCUAGGCUGCAGUUCCCUCCAGCUGUAAAGUGAGGAGAGGAAUCCUUCCUUUAUCUGUUCAGACUGGGGCAAUUGACACCAUGUCUGUGUGCAGCCUGAUCUCAGCGGGGGCAGGGACUGUCUCUCGCUGUGUGUCUGUGCGGUGCCUGGCACAAUGGGGCCCUGAUCUAGGCUGGGGCAGGGACUGUCUCUCCCUGUGUCUGUGCAGCGCCUGGCAGAACGGGGCCCUGAUCUGAGCUGGGGCAGGGGACUAUCGCAUACAGUGUGAGAGAAUUGUCCAAAGCUAAAAAUAAACCAAGGUCACCCCGCCUGGAUUUUCCCCUG